rnacentral:rRNA from 1 species
UGCGUAGGCGGAUCAAUAAGUCAGUGGUGAAAUCUCUCGGCUCAACCGGGAAACUGCCAUUGAUACUGUUGAUCUUGAGUUCGGUUGAGGUAGGCGGAAUGUGUAAUGUAGCGGUGAAAUGCUUAGAUAUUACACAGAACACCAAUUGCGUAGGCAGCUUACUAGACCGACACUGACGCUGAGGCACGAAAGCGUGGGGAGCAAACAGGAUUAGAUACCCUGGUAGUCC